rnacentral:rRNA from 1 species
GACGAACGCUGGCGGCGUGCUUAACACAUGCAAGUCGAACGGAGAGGCGCCUUCCUUUUUGGUGUGAGUGGAUGAGUGGCGAACGGGUGAGUAACACGUUAGUAACCUUCUCCCUCCUUCUUGAUAACGGCAUGCAAGUGUGGCUAACACGGGAUAUUUUGGGUCUGUCGCAUGAUUGGUCUGGGAAAGAUUUUGUGUCGGUUGGGGAUGGGCCCGCGCCCUAUCAGCUUGUUGGUGGGGUGAUGGCCUACCAAGGCGAUGAGGAGUAGCCGGCCUGAGAGGGUGGGCGAUCCCGCUGGGACUGAGCGGCCGACACGCCUCCUGCGGGAGGCAGCAGUGAAGAUUACUGCACGGUCGAAGCCAGGAUGGUGCAGCGCCGCCGCGGGGGGGAUGGAGGCCGGAGCGUAGUGAACUGCUUUCGGGAGUGAAGCAAUCCUGAAUCAUUUGUGCGUGGCUUGACGGUACCUGGAUAAGAAGCGCCGGCUAACUACGUG